AUUUAUCUUCGGGAUAGGUAGUAGUUAAGGUGAUGGCUUAACUAGCCAAAAACUCUCGUAGUCGAAUCUGAAAGGUUGAUCGACCACAUUGGGUCUGAAAAAACCCCAAUGCAAGUGAGUACAGCAGUGAGGAAUUUUGGUCAAUGGCCUAACGGCUGAACUGGCAACUUGGAGAAGUGGCAAGUCUUAUAUUGAUUAUAUUCUAAUCUAUAAGAUUGUAUUAGAAUUGAAUAAAGCUUUGUUUAUAUAUUGAUAAUGACAGUAUAUAUAUCGUGUCUUGACUAAUUACGUGCCAGCAGUCGCGGUAAUACGUAAGAGACUAGUGUUAUUCAUCUUAAUUAGGUUUAAAGGGUACUUAGACGGUCAAUAUAGCUUUUAAAUUGUUAGUAUUUGACUAGAGUUUGAUAUAAGAGGGCAGUACUUGAGGAGGAGAGAUGAAAUUCUAUUAUACCAAAGGGACUCGGUAAAGGCGAAGGCAGCCCUUUAUGUAAAAACUGACGUUGAAGGACGAAGGCACAGAGCACAAACAGGAUUAGAUACCCUAAUAGUCUUUGCAGUAAAUAAUGAAUGCCAUAGGUUAGAUUAAAU
rnacentral:rRNA from 1 species